AGAACGAACGCUGGCGGCAUGCCUAACACAUGCAAGUCGAACGAGACCUUCGGGUCUAGUGGCGCACGGGUGCGUAACGCGUGGGAAUCUGCCCUUGGGUUCGGGAUAACAGUUGGAAACGACUGCUAAUACCGGAUGAUGACUUCGGUCCAAAGAUUUAUCGCCCAGGGAUGAGCCCGCGUAGGAUUAGCUAGUUGGUGAGGUAAAGGCUCACCAAGGCGACGAUCCUUAGCUGGUCUGAGAGGAUGAUCAGCCACACUGGGACUGAGACACGGCCCAGACUCCGUACGGGAGGCAGCAGUGGGGAAUAUUGGACAAGUGGGCGAAAGCCUGAUCCAGCAAUAGCCGCGUGAGUGAUGAAGGCCGUUAGGUGUAAAGCUACUUUACCGGAUGAUAAUGACAGUACCGGAGAA
rnacentral:rRNA from 1 species